rnacentral:rRNA from 1 species
UGGGGAAUUUUGCACAAUGGGGGGAACCUUGAUGCAGCGACGCCGCGUGAGGGAUGGAGGCCUUCGGGUUGUGAACCUCUUUCGCUCGUGUGCAAGCCGCUAUUUGGGUAGUGGUGAGUGUAGCGGGUAAAGAAGCGCCGGCUAACUACGUGCCAGCAGCCGCGGUAAUACGUAGGGCGCGAGCGUUGUCCGGAUUUAUUGGGCGUAAAGGGCUUGUAGGCGGUUUGUCGCGCCUGUCGUGUAAUCCUCUGGCUUAACUGGGGGUGUGCGGUGGGUACGGGCAGGCUUGAGUGCGGUAGGGGAGAUUGGAAUUCCUGGUGGAGCGGUGGAAUGCGCAGAUAUCAGGAGGAGCACCGGUGGCGAAGGCGGGUCUCUGGGCCGUUACUGACGCUUAGGAGCGAAAGCGUGGGGAGCGAACAGG